rnacentral:rRNA from 1 species
UACGUAGGUGGCAAGCGUUGUCCGGAAUUAUUGGGCGUAAAGCGCGCGCAGGCGGUCCUUUAAGUCUGAUGUGAAAGCCCACGGCUCAACCGUGGAGGGUCAUUGGAAACUGGGGGACUUGAGUGCAGGAGAGAAAAGUGGAAUUCCAGGUGUAGCGGUGAAAUGCGUAGAUAUUGGGAGGAACACCGGUGGCGAAGGCGGCCCCCUGGACCGGUACUGACGCUGAGGCGCGAAAGCGUGGGUAGCAAACGGG